GCAAGUUCAAUGCCUGACACAUCCUUGGUGCUUCACACUAUUUGAGUAAGGAGCGUAGAACUACUACCCCACUUAAAACGAGAUGCGGACCUCAUUUGGACAGUUGCUUCUCUGAGUCCUUCAAGAUUGCUGAUUUGGAGUCACUGGCGGCAUCUGUUUCUCCAGGAGGGAUCGGCAUUGAAGCGGUUGGUUAAGCCUCAGCAGGCUCUCAGUGGUUGUGGAGAUGGCACUGGGCAGAUGGAUACUCUUGGAGAAACUCAGGGUCUGGAAAACAGCAGCAUCUUCUAGUUGGUCAUUGCUCCCUGAGACAAGAGAAGAUGUGGAUAGAAGUUAGGACUUUGAUGUGAAACAGACCUUGCUUGGUUGAAAACCCAUCUCAUCCUCAGAGCUGGGCAGCCUCAGGCAAAUUACUUCAACGGUCAACCUCUUUCCCAAACUUCUCCGCAUCCCGUGCCUUCUCAAUAAAAGGGGAAUUAAAAUACAGUCUUGAAGGAUUCUCAUGUGGAUUCAGUGAGUUAAUGCAUGAAAAAUCCUUCACAUGGUGUUUAUCAGUAGCACAUGGACCCGGAUGGUGCCUAAGAAUCUUUUGCCAGGAAAUUGUUUCUCUGACCAGCUGAAUCUGCUGUCCUCCACCCCCUUCCCAGACUUCCCACCAUCCUCUCCAGCCUGGCUGUAGAAUUGGAUCCAGUUAAUUCUUGCCAAACUAGCUUCAAACCCAAAGACUCCAGCUCUGGCCCUUUCUCUGGCAUCAGCUAGCCCUGCAACUUUGGGCUUCGCAGCGCUCAGGCAGCCCCGUCUGGAAGUUGCCACUUCCCGGAGAGAUUGCAGCUGCGAGGCUGAGGUUCUUGUCUGACUCCUGGAACUGCUGCGAGGGAGGUGCUCCAGCCCCAGGCCAGCACGCGUGCAGCCACAUCACGCUGACCUUUGGUGUCACGCAAGGGAAUUGGUUUGGAGAGCGUUCUGGCUCCUUCCAGCUGGAUGCCUGUGUCUUGAAGAAGAGGAGGGGUGGGCUAGGAAACCUAAUCUACUAGUAGGUGUAUCUUCACGGUUGGUUGGAUGUGCGAAUUCAUUUUGAGGGGUUGCUGGAAGCUCUGUCUCCUCUCAAUGUCACCUCCCUCCUUGUCCCGGUCAAGUGAAUGACUUUCAGCC
ensembl:lncRNA